GCCAGGCGAGGUGGCACAUGCCUGUAAUUCCAGCAGCUCAGGAGGCUGAUACAGGAGAGUCACGAGUUCGAAGGCAGCUUCAGCAACUCAGUGAGACCCUGUCUCUA
rnacentral:sRNA from 1 species